GCAAAGAUGGCUUUAUUAAUAUAAUGGAGUAUUACAAUACUGUUGCUCAGUACAAUAUUACACAACUCCAAGACUAACUAAAUGGCAGCCGAGGUCUUGAUAACGCGGCAACAACGUCCCUGGCAGGACUGGCUGGGUUACAAUCUAGCACGACGAGUCUUCUCCUGCAACUGACCACGUGCAAGGCCAGGUGAGUACUUUGAAUGUACUCGCAAGACAACCAAAUACAUAGCAUCCAAACAGCGGAUAACAAAGCAAGCAUAGAAGCUAUUCUAAGCAUGGCAUAAAAUUAGCAGGAAAAUAAUAUGAAUCAAGUAUAGCAUGGCAUGGACUAAACAUGUAAUCUACCUAACUAACAAGGCAAAGAUCACAACAACAGUUUAAAUAGCUUACUGUUACCGAAUAUCGACUUACUCUCUUCUGGCUUGUCCCACAACCCUCAACAUACUCAUGAUCUAAUCUGAACGGAUCCAAAUCCCAUCACAUGGUCAGCGGACCAUUCAUCAUAUAGCCUUCUCUUGGCUAGCAUAUCAUAUACCCGUCAUCUCAUGAUGUCCACACAAGAUGAGUUCUACCAUCAUUACUAACACUGAUAUGGUUGACCAUCUACUGAAGUCUGAUCGGGCUGUCCAUUACCGUGGACUCGGCUAUUCGAAUAGUUUUGACACUCUAUAGAGGUUGCACACUCUACCCACACUAUGGAGCACUGACUUCGUGAUCCCAUUCGGGUGGACCAGCGUUGCUCCAACGAAACAUGCGUGGCCCGUGACUCUCUCAUUCUACCACCGGCAAUCACACUUCCCCGGAGUAUUGCCCUGAGUGGCCCUGUGUCCUCAUGACACCUUCCACCGCCGUGGCCAAACUAAAUUGUCCCAACCGGGGUCGGGUACCCAAACAACUCAAGUGGGCUCACAGGAUUAUCACCGCCUACCUGAUUAGGGUAGCACGCAUGCAUAACCCUCCCUCUUUGGAAGUACCGAUGAGAGAUCACGCGACCAGCUCAAGUCACGGCCAACCCAUAUCGGCAAGAUGUGGUUGUACGAUAAAGCCCGGACAGGAGAUCAACACACUAAGUUUAAUUUAACAAUAUGUUUAUCAAGCUUGGCUGCUUAUGCUCAUCAUGAUAAUAACGAUGAAUGCAGUAGCAAUGAUAAGAAUCCUACAAACUAUCUCUACAUUAAUAAUACAACAGAAUGUGAAUAGAAAAUUAUUACUUUGCAGAUCUUAGUUUUAACUGAGAUCCUCGGAAUCCCUCGCAUAAACUCGGCAAAUAAAUCGGUAGCCACCAGAACGGUUGUUACACACAUAUCUCGGACAUUACCGGAAUAACUCAACCCCGACUCAAGACGGCUGGAAAGCAGCUCAGAGCAUGAGGUGGUGUCGAUAAGAAGAAUGUGGAAGUUCCCUAAGACGGCGGAAUGACAACUCAGAGCAUAGUGUCACUGUCGUGGAAAGAAAGUCAACAGUUGCUGAUGACGGCCGAAAAGUAGCUCAGAACACAAGUUAUCUGCUCACAAGAGAAAUAUAAAGUUGGCAUCCACCCCGGUCGACCGAAAACAACUCAGACUCGGGCAUGGUGCCAUUAUUAAAUAAAAUGCGAGCAAGGGUUAGUCGGCAUCUCACACGUCACAUUGUUCAGUCACGCACAUCACAAAUUAAAUAUGCAAGAGCAUUACCGAGCAACGGUGAGGGCAUAUAUUAUAUGAAGAGUACUGCAAAAGAAUAUACUACUGAUGUUACCGUUGCAUGCAAACACAGAGUAACGGUGUUACGGAUAAUCACACAGGGUGCAAGCAGAGCUAUCACGCAUAUCCGGAGCUCAUGAUAAGAAGUUGGCUUGCCUCGGGGGGUCGAUGAUUACAUCGUGAAGAAGCGCACUACGACACCGAGAAGAUUUACCAGAGAGGGUUCUCUCUCGAAGGACUUGGUCGAAGGGCAGGGGAAAAAUAGUCAUUUCUACUAUGCAAACAUAUCAUGAAAAAAUAUAGUCGAGACGGGAUCGACGAGACGAAGACGUGAGCGCUGGUUUUACCUCAAUCGGAGCUACGAGCGCAAAGUUAUGGUCGUUCGUUGUUUAGGCAGGAAAACAAAUAAAAACCUGUUCAUUUCCGUCUAAACCAGCGAACGUUCACAACUUAGGCAGUUCGGCCGGCAGAGUUUUAAAGCAGAAAGCGUAUUUCAGAGAAUAUGCUUUUGGUAAAACGAAAGCACAUUACAUGGACUACGCGUCCACUUAAAACAGUCGGGCCGGGGGUUGACCAUUCUCUCACUUACAGGUGGUGAGCACCUUAUCCACUCCCUCCCUCUCACUUACACGCGGGGCAUACCCCUGCUUCUAUCUCUUCUCCCUGGCUCCUUCUUCUACCUCGUGCUGCCAAGCAGAGGAGGCCGAGCCGCCGGUGCAGCCGGCGAAUGGAGGCCGCGGGAGGGCCGGCCGGCGGGAGCAGGGGCUCCGCCAGCCCACGCCGCGCUCGCAGGCGGUCGAGGGGGAAGACGGGCUGACCUACAGCUGUACCGCCACGGCAGGGACACCAUGGCCGGCGGUCGCCUCGCGGAGGAGCACUUGCAGGGCCUGCCCGUCGGAGAGGAAAGCGGCGGCGACCUCGCCGAGGCUAGGAGGUGCCCUGACCGAGGAGAUGGGAGAGGGGGAGCGCUCUGGAGCUGAAAUUACCGUGGGGUCCGAUGGGAGCUCUCGGCCAUUGGGGAGGCAGGGAGCUCCAGGAGCUCAAUUAGGAGGGGUAACUGGGGCUGCUGGUGCUUGCGAGCUCGGGGAGGGGCUCGGGCACCCUUAAAUAGCAUCACGAGGGAGCUCUCGCGACAUCGGGAGAAGCUCCAAGAAUCCAUGGCGGGUUUCCCUUCGGUGCACGACACUCCCGGGCUGCUUAGAACCAGCUGGAUACAAGCUCCCGUGGACCUCAGUGCACAAAGCUCAGUUUUGGCACGCUCUGCACAUGGUCACC
rnacentral:lncRNA from 1 species